UAUUGUGUUCUUUGUUAUCCAAUUUAGUUUACUGUUAUGUUUAGAAAAAUUCUAUGUUGAGAAGAUGAUUUACCACGAGGAUGCUAUUACUUAACUUUUAAUGAGGCUUUGUUUUUUACAAAAGCCAUUACUUACCUUCAGAUGAGGCUUUGUUCAUUCUUUUAUUUCCCCAUGUUAAUCUAAUUUGCACAUCACUAAACAAUAUGAUACCUAUUGUUUUUUAUUGUUACUGGUUUCUUCUUAUUUUUUGUCCAAUUACCUAUAGAAACGACAUCGAAAGGAACUUCAAGCUGAACAAGCGAAAGCAUCUGUACAAAGACUGUCUAAAAUCUUCUAGAAAAACCUAAACCCUAUCAGGAAUGGAGACGCUCUCGGCGAAGCAGGAGGGCACGGUGGACGUGAAGCUGAAGCCGACUUCUAACCAAUCCAACUCGUAGGCGGGCGGGGAGCGGAUGUGCCAACUAGAAGAGUGGUCUCUCUCGGCGCUUGUUUGACAAACGUGUGUUAUUAACCGUUGUAUACAAUGUUAUUAAUUAAUGUCCUUUAUUCCCU